rnacentral:ncRNA from 20 species
GUACCAAAUAAUUAAUGCUCUGUAAUCAUUUAAAAGUAUUUUGAACGGACCUCUGUUUGACACGUCUGAAUAACUAAAAAACAAAAAUUUGCCACCUAAGUGGCUUUUUUU